rnacentral:misc_RNA from 1 species
CCGGCGGUAUUGAUCUCUUGCCUCAGGAUACUGAUGCAUGGAUUUCACCCUUGCAAGGGCUAUCUGUGAUCUUGCUUCUGUUUGCUUUCUGCCUUCUUUAAAGAAAUCAUAGUCAUCCUCCUUUGAUAAUGUAUCCUGUUUACUGGGACCCUCAAUAAGUGCUUCUGAUUUGAAUCCACGCAAACCACUUCGUUUUCGUCUCCAACGCAAGAUAACUUUCUCCACAAUUCCCACAGACCAUACUAUCUUUCUAUAGUUUUUCCUAACCUGGUGGCCUCUUACAUGGGCCUGAAUUUUAACAAUUCGCUGCCGGAUUAUCAAAAAUUCCUUUCUACCCUUCCAACUACGGAACUUGUUUUGAAUCCUUAUUGCAGCAGCAUGCACUGGCUCAUCAUGUUGUCCUGGCUUGAGUGCCUUAACCGCAAUAAAUGAAAGAGCACACUCAUUUGACAUUCCAUAUUUAUCAUCCCCCAACUCUUUUAACUGCUUCUUUUGAAAGGACUGUACCCUGAAGACUUCGUGAAUACGAGCAACAGCUUGAGUAGCAUUACAGACAGCAGCUAACGAGUCCUUUAGGGGAAGUCCAUAUGAUAAGUCCCCAUCACUAGUUACAAAUGUACCAUGCUCUGGAACUAUCUGCACUGUUUUUGCCCCAGAAACUCCUGCCACAUCACCAUCCUGCUUAUCCAGAUUAAGAGAAGAAAGGUGGGCGCUCAAAGCAGAUUCUGCUAGAUAACCAGCAAUUCCUUUGUGUCCAUUAGCAGAAGCUAGAUCAGCAGGUGUUCUGCCUGUAGGAUAUUUGGGAGUUGGAUCAGUUAAUGCUCCAGGAGCUGCACCAAG